rnacentral:lncRNA from 1 species
CUCACUCGGUGGUGAUUUUCAAAUCAUUCAUCCAAAAACACUUUAGAUGAAAAUUUUAGUAACAAACUGCACCAAAAUAAUUCCCAUUUGUUAUUUGUAAAAAACAUUCAAAAAACCAAAAGAUACAUAACAAGAUAAAAUUCAUAUACAGUAUUUAUAAAUUAAUUUAGUUCCGUUCAAAAUAACCAAAAAAGGUCAUUCUGUAAAUAUAUCGAAACUCGUAAUAAUAUAAUAUUAUAUAGCACAUGACAAAAUCUCUAUAAAGGGCAUGGCAUCUGAAAAGAUACGUUUACAUAUAUAGAUUAAGCAAUGCGCAGAAAACAGCUGCGCAGAGACAACGGCGUUGUUGCUGCCAUCUCGAUCAGAUUUCACCGUAGAUAAAUUACAAGAUCGUAAGUGAUAUAUAUAUUUAUAAAACGGCAAAAAUAUUACGGCCGGGUCGGGUAAGUAUUAAUUGAGAGACCCAUAACGGGAAUUGCAAAACUAGCUUCCAUAAGUAACCUCUGCUGAAACGCUUCCACACUUGCCCUCCCGUCGAUCAUGUCUUUUAUUAUCGCUCGGUAAAAUUCUUUGAGCUUCUUAAGCUUCAUCUUGAUCCACCGUAGUUUUAUUCGCCGGAAUAUUCGGAUGAUGAAGAGCUUUCUUCUCGCGUUUUUCUUGCCUCCGAGGCGGACUGUCGGCAGCACUCUCUUUCGCCGGAGAGGAAUGAGUAGUCUUCUGCGGCAACAUGUUUUGCUGCUUCUGGUGACGACGUCGUUGGGAGGAAGAGUUGAAGCCAUGGACAGAUUUGGACAGGAGCGUUUGAGAGAGAGAGAGAGGGGUGAAAUAAAACGCUCAAGUGCUGUGUUGUUCUUGUUCCUAUCCUUUUGCACUUAUAAUAUACUAGUAAUCAAUAAGUGAUGUAAUUAUAGACAGAGGGGAGAUAGGUGGAGAGGAAGGGAUGGGUGGAGAGCAAGUAUACUUCCACUUGUCUUCUGUUUUAUAAUGAUUUCGGGGUCUCUCGCAAGCGCUGGUUUUCCCUGUUUUAUAUUCUAUAGCCUUUUUGGCCCGUGCUACGCGCACAGGUAUUGAUUCUUUGAUUUUUUUAUCAACUUAACCUAUAUUUUCGGGUUAAUUAUCAAGUUGAUCACUGAAGUGGGCUUAAUGUAUCAAGUUGAUCACUGAACUCAAAACGGU